rnacentral:rRNA from 1 species
UACGUAGGGGGCAAGCGUUGUCCGGAAUUAUUGGGCGUAAAGAGCGUGUAGGCGGUCCGGUAAGUCAGCUGUGAAAGUCAAGGGCUCAACCCUUGAAAGCCGGUUGAUACUGUCGGGCUAGAGUCCGGAAGAGGCGAGUGGAAUUCCUGGUGUAGCGGUGAAAUGCGCAGAUAUCAGGAGGAACACCAAUGGCGAAGGCAGCUCGCUGGGACGGUACUGACGCUGAGGCGCGAAAGCGUGGGGAGCAAACAGG